rnacentral:rRNA from 1 species
AAUUUUGGACAAUGGGGGAAACCCUGACCUAGCCAUCCCGCGUGUAUGAUGAAGGCCUUCGGGUUGUAAAGUACUUUUGGCAGAGAAGAAAAGGUAUCUCCUAAUACGAGGUACUGCUGACGGUAUCUGCAGAAUAAGCACCGGCUAACUCCGUUCCCGAAGCAGCGGUAACACGUAGGGUGCAAUCGUUAAUCGGAAUUACGGGGCGUAAAGCAAGUGUAGGGGGUUAGGAAAGAGAGAUGUGGAAUCCCAGGGCUCAACAUUGGAACUGCAUUUUUAACUGCCGAGCUAGAGUAUAUCAGAGGGGGAUAGAAAUCCACGUGUAGCAGUGAAAUGCGUAGAUAUGUGGAGGAAUACCGAUGGCGAAGGCAGCCCCCUGGGAUAAUACUGACGCUCAGACACGAAAGCGUGGGGAGAAAGCA